rnacentral:rRNA from 1 species
UCCUUUGGAGUGAGGGUUGCUGUGAAAACCUCUGAUGCUGACAGCAAAAAAGACCUUUGUUGUAUGUGCUCGGGGUUAUAUCUAAGGCGAUGAUGUGCCCUCACUUUCAAAUCUGCUCACUUUGUUCCUUUUAACACCUGUGCACCAUAAGCAAGGUUCCAUUCACUGGGUUGGGCAUCUUUGUGAUUGAUAACAUGCACACAAUCUCUAGUCUUCUAGGCGAGAGAGCAGUGUAUACUUAUUGUGGGUCCUGCAAAUGAUCUGUUGAGGGAUCGACACAUCCCAAAACAGGAAAUGGCAAGUAGAUCUACAUGUACAUGUAUAUGUAUAUUUGCAAGGAUUCUCCAUGCCCUUUAAGUGAACGUGAGCUUUGUUUCUAAUAUACAUAAACUCUUGCAAUGUCUUGUAGAAUGGUAUUGAAAAAGUUUAUACAACUUUCAACAAUGGAUCUCUUGGCUCUCGCAUCGAUGAAGAACGCAGCGAAAUGCGAUAAGUAAUGUGAAUUGCAGAAUUCAGUGAAUCAUCGAAUCUUUGAACGCACCUUGCACUCCUUGGGCAACCUAUGGAGUAUGCCUGUUUGAGUGUCAUGUUAAUAUCAGUUCCCUCAGGUUUUUGUAAUGAAGACCUGCUUAGGUGAAUUGGAAUUGGAGGUUCAAUGCAGGUCCCCCCUACAUUAGGGAUCAGCUCCUCUUAAAUGCAUUAGCUGGAGGAUGAAAGCAAAAGUUGCUCUUUAGCACUGUUCAUCUGCUAUGGUGUAAUAA